CGGGCGUCUUAACAUGCAAGUCGAACGGUAAGAGGGGAGCUUGCUCCUCUCCUAGAGUGCGGACUGGUGAGUAACGCGUGGAUGAUCUACCUUUGAGAUGGGGAUAGCUUCUAGAAAUAGGAGAUAAUACCGAAUAACCUUAUUAUGUUAUGACGUAGUAAGAAAAUGGAGCGUCAGCUCCGCUUAAAGAUGAGUCUGCGUCCCAUUAGCUAGUUGGUAAGGUAAAGGCCUACCAAGGCGACGAUGGGUAUCCGGCCUGAGAGGGUGAACGGACACAUUGGGACUGAGAUACGGCCCAAACUCCUACGGGAGGCAGCAGCUGAGAAUCUUCCGCAAUGGACGAAAGUCUGACGGAGCGACACCGCGUGAACGAUGAAGGCCGGAAGGUUGUAAAAUUCUUUUGCAGACAAAGAAUAAGGAUAGAAGGAAAUGACUAUCUGAUGACGGUAGUUAUGCGAAUAGCCCCGGCUAAUUAC
rnacentral:rRNA from 1 species